UGUGCACUCAUGGGUAGAUUUUUAAUCAAUUAUUUCGCCAAAUAAUUUCUAGCAUUCAAUUUUGCCCCAGAUAUCUUUUCAGCAGGCAUGUGGUGCCUCCACUGAAAGUUUUGAUUAAGUUCAACUAUUAAUAUGUCAGAAUUUAGUACAUCUAACAAAUGAGUGAUCAGGUCCAAGUGUGGCUCGACUAACUUGACCAUCAUCAAAAAAACAUAACUAAAUCAACAUAUUAUGA
rnacentral:lncRNA from 1 species